AAAAAAUUAGCAAUAUCCUCUUUUCAUGUAUUUUACACAGCAAGUUCAGUUCAGUCGUUUGCUUAAUAUAUGUCUCAGCAUUUUCCUCAGCACUUCCAGCCAGCCAACCGGCACAAGCACAGAAAGAAAAUCCGCCGCUGAUUACCACAAAAGGCUUUGAGACCUUUACUUCAACCUGGACGGGCGGGGGAGAAACGGGCAAGCGGCUCCGCGGAGCAACACUGCCCCCUGCAGACCACAGAAACCAAAAUGCCAGCAAGCCCGGAAGAAAAUCGAUCCUUCCCGCUGGGUUUUCGGGCAAAGGACUUAUGGGGAAUGCCCUUGAGGACCAAAGAAAGAAAGGGAACAUCUCGAAGGGGCCCGGGCCAACCGCCCCUGGACCGCGCGAGUUCCGCUCGACCCGCCCACAGAACCACAGCGAGGCGGGCAAGAAGUCAGGACGUCCAGGAAGAUCCGGAGUUGCUGAGGGCUGGUUCUGGGCCUGCCCUGGGGAGCAUUGAGGUCAGUGCCAGUUUCCCAGCCUGCGUCCGCUGGGAGAUUUCUCCCCGAAACUGCUUAGAACUCUCCACUGCGGGACCUGAUUCGUGAUGUUCGGGUCCUGUCCAACCUGGCCCCAACAAGAUGGUUAUUUUGGGUCACUACCCUGACCUCUUCUCUGUCAGUCGACUCUGCCCUCUUCUCUGUCAGUCGACUCUGGAUUAAAGUCCCUUCCGUACCCACCUUGCAGUGAGAUGAGCAACUUGUACUCCUUAACAGCUGAUUACUUCCAGGUGCUUUGCAUUAUAAAUGUGUUAUCAUGUCAUAAUCUUGAUGGCGUGGAUGAGUCAUUUUCUAUAUAGUUUCCCUCCCCGCCCCCUUUCAUUUAGUAUCUCAUUGUAAUAAAUACGUUAUUGUUGCUUUUCAGUCCGUUGGCCGUGUCCGACUCUUUGCGACCCCAUGGACUGCAUGCAGCACGUCAGGAGGUUUCCCUGUCCUUCACCAUCUCCCAGAGCUUGCUCAGACUCCUGCCCAUUGAGUCAGUGAUGCCAUCCAACCAUCUUGUCCUCUGUCAUCCCCUUCUCCUGCAGUCAGUCUUCCGCAGCAUGGCAGGCUGUCUUACUCUCGAUCCCAGUGAGCAUUUUCUUUCACUCUUCCACUGGGGAGGAGAAUGUAUCCUGCAAACCAGUGUGCAAGCUACAAUCUGACAGCCUUGAGACCUGAACAUAGGGACACUCUCUGAGGAACCCUGAGAACCCGGAGAGCUGACUCUUCCUCUGUGUGCCCAAGGUCCCAAAGGCAUAUGAGGGCAGUAAUAGCAUCUGCUUCUUGGGUGGUGUCCAGCAUCAACUACCCAGCAGGAUCUUAGCUUGGCACUUGUCCCCAUCAUGUUAUUAUUGUAGGUGGCUCAGAUGGUAAGGAGUCAGCCUGCAGUGCAGGAUAGCCAGAUUCAAUGGCUGGGUUGGGAAGAUCCUCUGGAGAAGGAAAUGGCAACCCACUCCAUUAUUCUUGCCUGGAGAAUCCCAUGGGCAGAGGAGCCUGGCAGGCUACAGUCCAAGGGGUCUUAAAGAAUCAGACACUUCUGAGCCACUUUCACUUCCACUUCACGUAAUGAUUUUGAAGUCAAAACUCACUGUCAUAAUAAAGUUCUCUUUAAACAUACAGGAAUUCCUCAACGAUGGGAAGCAAGACAAGGGUAACCACUCCUUCCACUACAUUCACUAUGUCAGCUUAUAUUAUGUUGUUGGAUUUUUAAGUGUCAGUGCGUCCGGCGAAAGUUCUCACAACGGGCUCUCUGAAGGGCUCAGACGCAGUCUGAAUCAGCCAACCGGCACAAGCGGAGGAAAACAAAAUAAAACCAAACCAGCUGUUUCUUGUGGCCAAAAGCUUCCUGUUAUUUUAUUAAAGCGCGAGGGCGGAGGAAAAAACCGGCCCGGCGACACUGUGGAGCAACACUGCCACCUGCAGGCUACAGAAACCAAAACGCCGCAAGCCCGGAAGAAAAUUCAUCGUUUCUGCUGGGUUUUCCCGCAGAGGACUGGACAGCGUGGACGCGAAAGUUAAGGGGGAUGCCCGUAAGGACCAGAGAAAGGAAGAGAAUCUCUCGACGGGGUCCGGCCAAACCACCCCUGGACAGCGAGCAGUCCGCGGAACCAUAGCAACACGGGCAG
ensembl:lncRNA